GUGAGUAACACAUAAAAACCUAUCCUUGAAAGGGGAAAAACAACUAGAGAUGACUGUUAAUUAAUAACAUGUAGACUAAGGAUCAAAAGGAGGAAUCCGCCUUAGAAUGAGCUCAUGUCUGAUUAGCUAGCUAGCUGGUGAGACAAUAACUUACCAAGGCAAUGCUUAGUAGCUGGUCCAAAAGGAUAAUCAACCAC
rnacentral:ncRNA from 1 species